rnacentral:rRNA from 1 species
AGCGAACGCUGGCGGCAGGCCUAACACAUGCAAGUCGAACGAACUCUUCGGAGUUAGUGGCGGACGGGUGAGUAACACGUGGGAACGUGCCUUUAGGUUCGGAAUAACUCAGGGAAACUUGUGCUAAUACCGAAUGUGCCCUUCGGGGGAAAGAUUUAUCGCCUUUAGAGCGGCCCGCGUCUGAUUAGCUAGUUGGUGAGGUAAAGGCUCACCAAGGCGACGACCAGUAGCUGGGCUGAGAGGAUGAUCAGCCACAUUGGGACUGAGACACGGCCCAACCUCCUACGGGAGGCAGCAGUGGGGAGUCUUGCGCAAUGGGCGAAAGCCUGACGCAGCCAUGCCGCGUGAAUGAUGAAGGUCUUAGGAUUGUAAAAUUCUUUCACCGGGGACGAUAAUGACGGUACCCGGAGAAGAAGCCCCGGCUAACUUCGUGCCAGCCGCCGCAGUAA